UGGGGAAUAUUGGACAAUGGACCAAGAGUCUGAUCCAGCAAUUCUGUGUGCACGAUGACGUUUUUCGGAAUGUAAAGUGCUUUCAGUUGGGAAGAAAAAAAUGACGGUACCAACAGAAGAAGUGACGGCUAAAUACGUGCCAGCAGCCGCGGUAAUACGUAUGUCACGAGCGUUAUCCGGAUUUAUUGGGCGUAAAGCGCGUCUAGGUGGUUAUGUAAGUCUGAUGUGAAAAUGCAGGGCUCAACUCUGUAUUGCGUUGGAAACUGUGUAACUAGAGUACUGGAGAGGUAAGCGGAACUACAAGUGUAGAGGUGAAAUUCGUAGAUAUUUGUAGGAAUGCCGAUGGGGAAGCCAGCUUACUGGACAGAUACUGACGCUGAAGCGCGAAAGCGUGGGUAGCAAACAGGAUUAGAUACCCUGGUAGUCCACGCCGUAAACGAUGAUUACUAGGUGUUGGGGGUCGAACCUCAGCGCCUAAGCAAACGCGAUAAGUAAUCCGCCUGGGGAGUACGUACGCAAGUAUG
rnacentral:rRNA from 1 species